rnacentral:rRNA from 1 species
UACGUAGGGACCGAGCGUUGUCCGGAAUCACUGGGCGUAAAGGGCGCGUAGGCGGGAUGGCAAGUCGGUCGUGAAAUCUCUCGGCUCAACCGAGAAACGUCGGCCGAUACUGCCGUUCUUGAGGGAUGCAGAGGAGACUGGAAUUCCCGGUGUAGCGGUGAAAUGUGUAGAGAUCGGGAGGAACACCUGUGGCGAAGGCGGUUCUCUGGGCCUGUACUGGACGCUGAGGAGCGAAAGCGUGGGGAGCGAACAGG